rnacentral:SRP_RNA from 1 species
GCCGGGUGCGUUGGGGUGCACCUGUAAUCCCAGCUACUCGGGAGGCUGAGGCUGGCGGAUCGCUUGAGGCCAGGAGUUCUGGGCUGUAGUGGCCUAUGCCGAUCAGGUGUCUGCAAUAAGCUCGGCAUCCAUAUGGUGUUUCCAAGGGAGCUUGGGAUCACCAGGUCGGCUAAGGAGGGGUGAAUCGGUCCAGGUCAGAAGCGGAGCAGAUCAAAGUAUUUGAGCAACAUUGUUCCCUCAGAUUCCUUUGGUUCUGACUCAGAUGUUGUUUUGCCAGACUAAUGAACAUCUUCUCUCAA